UUUAGUGUAGAACUAGAUAUUAAAUAUUGACCAAUGAAUUUACUAUAUCCUAAUUCCAUACUUCAUUAUGUGAAUUAAUUAGUUCAACCAAAAGGUGUCUUUGUCAUUUUGUAUAUAAGUCAAAUAGGGUAAAAUUGUUUUUGGCAUAAAUCAAGAGACUAUGAAUUAGGGUAAAACAAAAACUCACAUAUUCCUAUUCAUCGCUCAACGUGUCAACUUACCCAACUCUUUUCUUCCCAACGCGGCCCGGUAGUACGAUAGUCUUGAUUAAUGGAUUCCUUCUUCCCGUCGUCAUCUUGAUUCUCGUUGUCAUUCUCAACCCAGCGCUUUGUCGAAUUUUAACGUGGUGCAAACAAGACGUGGAAAAUUGAACGGCAAUUGUUGUAUUCACCAAUUUUUACAGUCUACGAAAACUCUACAAACUAACCUCUAACAUUUUGGUUGUAGAUGAGAGGAUAUUGCAUUCCAGAACUUCAUCCGGUGUGGUACCACUGCCUUCAAUUGGAAAAAGUAAGCGAGGACGCCCACCCCAAACCUGAUGGAACCAAACCGUUCAGGUAUGAGAUGAAGUAUUUUCAACAUUAGCUGAAGUAGUUCAGUAAUCUAGUUAACGUUUUCUUAAAAUUAACUUCCCGUUCUACAAUUGGGAAAACUAAGCUGGGACGCCUGCUUAAAACCAGAACGAGGUCCACCCCAAAGUUGAUCGAACCAGGCAUUUCGGACAAAUCAGCUCCCACUAAGGAGAUACCUGCAUUGAAUCAACUACCUACGACGCUUUCAACAUUCAAACUGAACGAACCACUUGG